GUAGGUGAACCUGCGGAAGGAUCAUUACCGAGUUAGGGUCUUUCAGGCCCGACCUCCAACCCUUUGUUUAAUUUACCAUGUUGCUUUGGCGGGCCCGCCCUUCUGGGGCCGCUGGGGGUUUUAAUACCCUUGGUCAGCGCUUGCCAGUGGCCUUCUUAAAUUCUUCUUUUUAAUUGUGAUGUCUGAAGAUAAAUAAAAAUUGUUAAAAAACUUUCAACAACGGAUCUCUUGGUUCUG
rnacentral:misc_RNA from 1 species